rnacentral:misc_RNA from 1 species
AGCCGACAAAAAAGGGGAAACAGGUUCUCGGAACAAAAAAGGUGCUGGGCCAACAAAUCAGCCACCUCGUACUGGAUAUGGCUAUGGUGCUCAAGGAUUUGCACAGCCUAUGAUGUAUGGAAGGGGACAGGCUCCAGUUGGCAUGGCAAUGGUGCCAAUGAUACUGCCUGAUGGGCGUCUUGCAUAUGUCAUGCAACAACCAGGAAUACCGGUGAACUCUCCGCCACCACGCGGUGGCAGUGGGCGUGUAGGAAACUCUAGCGGGGGGCGGAAAAGCAAUGACAACAACCGCGGACGCAGGUAUCAACCUUAUUGAACCUCGGGACCAUGGACCCAGACAUUAGUAGUAAAACAUUUUGUAUGAAUGAACCUUGGAUGAAUUCUUUUUAUAUGGUCCCUGUAUGGUGAACAAAGUGCUGUUAUGAAG